rnacentral:rRNA from 1 species
UACGGAGGGUGCAAACGUUGCUCGGAAUCAUUGGGCGUAAAGCGCACGUAGGCGGCCUGUUAAGUCGGGUGUGAAAGCCCUGGGCUCAACCCAGGAAGUGCACUCGAAACUGGCAGGCUUGAAUAUGGAAGAGGGUCGCGGAAUUCCCGGUGUAGAGGUGAAAUUCGUAGAUAUCGGGAGGAACACCAGUGGCGAAGGCGGCGCCUGGGCCAAUAUUGACGCUGAGGUGCGAAAGCGUGGGGAGCAAACAGG